CGUCUCGUGGGUUUUUUCGUCUGCUAGUCAAAAUUCCAUUCCAAAGAUUUUGUUGCUUUGUUCAUGAAAGAACACAAUUUACAGAGUUACCUCCCCUAGCAGAACUCUUUUGAUGUAAACAAUACUGAUACAUGUGGCAGACAAUGUUGAACUGUAGUUUUUCAAUCUUAUCUGAGAUGAAUGUGGGAAUUCACAGUAUUCUAAGGAUGAAAAGACAACACGCUUAUUGGACAAUGUAAUAGAAUUGUUGAACCACUUCCUUAGGAUUAAAAUAUGCAAAAAUCAAGUCGGAGGGAAAAUUGAUUUGAUUGAAUAUGAAUCUAACAUGCUAAUAUUGGGAUCUUUUCCCAACUACAUGUACAUUCAUACUUUGUUUGUCCAAAACACCAACAAACCCUAGGAAUAUGCAUGAGAUUAAGAGAAGGAAUGUUGGUUGUGCACAACCGUCUCACAAAGGAAGGAUCAAAGCCAGACAGAGCAGUGCCCAUCCAGAUGAGCAGGGCCUUUUUCUAGGUUCUAAACACAAGGGAUUUGCUGAACUGCAGAGGUUAUUUGUAAAGACACAUACCUUUGAUAUUUGAAAGAACUGUUUACAGAAGACUAUUGCAUUGCAGAGGAUUGAUGAUUAAAAGAUUCGACUACAGCAAAGUUCAAUGAGGCUCAUCAUAUUGUGAUGCCAAUAUUGCGCACUUGAGUAGGAAGAUCAAAAUGUUUGUAGUGAAUGGACAUAAGGAAAUAGCUUGCCUUCAAAUUGACCAACAUUUCUGAAGUCAAGGAUGACAACUUAGUCUCUAUUCAUAAAGAAAUUGCAUAGCCAUGUUUGAACCUAAAGAACAGAUAUACCAAAUCUGAAUGACAGAUAAAAUAAUAAGACAUGAUAACUAUAAGAAGACUCUGAACAAUCUGAAAACUAUCAAUUCAGGAAUUCCAUGUACAUGAUGUAUGUGACAGAAGUUUUUAAAAACAUUUGAAUGUUGAGAUUGGUUGAGUAUCUCAAUGAUAAGAACUUUCAUUCUGAAAUCAGAAUUUGGAUGAUCUUUUCCUGUAUGAGCGUAAAUUAAUCUCUAAUUUGGUCAGUUAUUUUUAAAAAUAUUAUAGUAAAUGAAUGAAAUAAUUUGUGCAAUUUAUUAUUUUCUUUUUGAAAAAUGUUGCAUGUUUAUUAUGACAUACAUUUU